UACGGGGGGAGCAAGCGUUGUUCGGAUUUACUGGGCGUAAAGGGCGCGUAGGCGGCCGGCACAAGUCAGUUGUGAAAUCUCCGAGCUUAACUCGGAAAGGUCAACUGAUACUGUGCGGCUAGAGUGCGGAAGGGGCAACUGGAAUUCUUGGUGUAGCGGUGAAAUGCGUAGAUAUCAAGAGGAACACCUGCGGCGAAGGCGGGUUGCUGGGCCGACACUGACGCUGAUGCGCGAAAGCUAGGGGAGCGAACGGG
rnacentral:rRNA from 1 species